rnacentral:rRNA from 1 species
GAUGAACGCUAGCGGCAGGCCUAAUACAUGCAAGUCGAACGGUCCACUUCGGUGGAUAGUGGCGCACGGGUGCGUAACACGUAUGCAACCUACCUUACAUUGGGGGAUAGCCUUUCGAAAGGGAGAUUAAUACCGCAUAAGACAGUAACAUGGCAUCAUGUAGCUGUCAAAGAUUUAUCGAUGUAAGCUGGGCAUGCGUCCAAUUAGUUAGUUGGUGAGGUAAAGGCUCACCAAGACGAUGAUUGGUAGGGGAACUGAGAGGUCAAUCCCCCACACUGGCACUGGGAUACGGGCCAGACUCCUACGGGAGGCAGCAGUAGGGAAUAUUGGGCAAUGGACGCAAGUCUGACCCAGCCAUGCCGCGUGCAGGAAGAAGGCGUUCUGCGUUGUAAACUGCUUUUAUAUAGGAAGAAACGACCCUUGCGAGGGGCAUUGACGGUAUUAUAUGAAUAAGCACCGGCUAACUCCGUGCCAGCCGCCGCAGUAAUAC